GGAAAAUCAAGUUCAUUAACACGUUUUUUACAUUCAUUAUUUUUUCCAAUACAAGUUUUUCUAAGUUUUCAAAGAGAACUGGGAAAGUUGAAUGCUUUCUUGUGUUUCUUUCAUCGAUAGGGUUCUGUACAGUGUGAGUUCUUUUAUGUGUUCUAAUAAACUAGAGCAUAUGACGGCUUUACCACAUUUCUUACAUGAGAAUAAUGUUUUUGAAGAUAGCCCAGUUGACUAACAUUGUCCUGUGUUGGUUUUGUUGUGUUUCUCCUUCCCCAGGCUUGAGUUGGGAAACCAGUUCUCCCACUUCAUUAAUAAUGAUGUCGAUGUUCCUGGCAGUGUUUAUACCAAAUGCUACUUUGACCUUUGCGCCUUGGCACACGACAGUAGCCUAUAUUUGCCAUUUUGUCUUCUUGACAUAGAAAGAGCAUGGGAACUGAAGGUUGUUUCAAGGUUGGAAGACAAAGACUUCUAUGGUACUGCCAACAAAAGGAAAAGGUCUUUGAGUUCUGAUGAUUUAAUUGAUCUUCAGUGCCUUAAGGCCAUCCUCUCCUGAAGGAAGAAGUGAGGGGUUAUAUAACAUCUGAACCCCUCAUCAAAAAAGACAGGAAAAUAUCACCUUUCCUGCUGAAGAACUAGAAAAGUACUUUCAAAAGAAGAAACACCUACAAUUCAAGUUAACUCAAGGACAACUAGGAUUGCACUUCAUAGAAAAGAAUGGGACCUUGUCAAUGCAACAACACACUCUUACACUCUUCUGUCCCUUUUAAUGUAAAGAGAGUUAUAAAAACCACUCCAAAGUGAAGGCUCCUAUGUGAGCUGAUAGCAGUGAACUAUGUAAGGGUUUAAAACAAUGGUUUAAAUUUUUAGAUUUUAAAGAUAACUUUUCUGUUUCUUUUAUAUUUUUCUUUCCCCCAAUAUUGCUGCAUAUGCAUUUAGCAUCAUAUUACCAUUAAAACAUAGGACUCUUAACAACUCAUAAAGCCACUAGGAGCAGAUGCAGCAUUGUCAGGUACUGAAGGGGCUCUUCCUUCCUACUCUUAGAAUCGAAGCUACUAGUUACUGGCAAUCAUUUUAAGCAAAAGCUUCUGGAUAACAUUUGCCAUUCAUAUCCUCUGUAAGCACUUCUUAUUAGCAGUUAGCAUGUUUGGGGUCAUAAAAAGAGAAAAUAUUGGUUAUUGAUUAUCUACUUUUAUUAGGGUCUGUGGUGUAUUUCUUGUGAACUAUAAUGGUUCUCAUUUGCUGAUAAAUUUUCUUAUUUUUUAAAUAAAGGUAUUAAAAGAUGUUUUCAUAGUGCCAAGCAACAUGGUGAUCCAGUGGUAAUAAAAAAUGAUAAAACAUGAGGUGUCCUGAAAGUUUCAGGACAGUUUUUAGCUUUAACAUAGUAUGCUUGUGCCCUCCAGAGCACUGAAGCAUACAUAUGCAGGCUAUAAACCUUUACAAAAUAUAAUUUGAAAUUUUAAUUGUAUUUCUUCUUUUUUUUUUUAAAUAGAUGUUGUCUCAGUAUGUUACCCAAUGUACAGUGCAAUGAUUAUUCAGAGGCACAGUCAUAGCAUACCACAGCCUGGAAAUCCUGGCCUCAAGCAAUCCUCCCAUGUCAGCCUACCAAGCAGCUGGGACUAUAGGUGUGUACCACCACCUCUGGCUUCAUUUUGCAGAAUUUGAAUAUUAAGCAUUUAACUUUUUGUCUCAUCAAUAUCUGCUAUCGUCAAGAAGGACUGAAACAAAAAAUUAAAGGUUAAUAUUCAGGAGCUAGGCAUGCCUGUAGUCCCAGCUACUCAUAAGGCUUAAAUGGCAGGAUCACUUGAGGCCUAGCAUUGGAGGCUGCAGUGCGCUGUGAUUGUGCCUGGAAAUAGCCAUUGCACUCCAGCCUUGGCAACAUACUGAGACCCUGUCACUCUAAAAAAUGGCAAAACUAAAUAAAGGUAAAAGAAAUAUAACAAACCUUUCAGUGAUGCUUUGUAAAUAUUUGUAGCAUUGAUACUUCUACAAGUAUCAAAGCUUAAAAUUACACUAAGCCUUUUGGAAUUGUUGUAUUUUUAUAAAGUGCCCUUUUCUCUUUUGAAGUAGUUCUUUGCAGGGCUUUCAUCUGCAUUGAUCACCCAAAAUUAUUUUCUCUAGAUGUGAUACAGAAUAGGAUCAGUUUUAAUGCACAUGUAACAAAUUUGAAGGAACUGGACCUUAAUAGUAGUAGAUGAUCUAAUACAUUUUAUUAUCCCGCAUGUUAACCUGGAGGCAGGUAUCAUAUUUUAUGUCCAUAAACCUUAGGAACCUUACCUCCUAAAAAAAUUAUCAUUUAUGGAGUGCAGAGCUUAGAGAUUGAAGUAUUGACUGCAGUUUUAUUUUCAAAAGGUAAAUGCUACAAUUUAUGUGGUUUUUAUUUCUCAUGUUUACAUUAAAAGAAAACCUAAUAAACUUUUAAUUAAAAUGUGACUAGUGGGCCGAGCACAGUGGCUCACACCUGUAAUCCUAGCACUUUGGGAGGCCAAGGCAGGUAGUUCAGAAGGUCGGGAGUUCAAGACCAGCCUGGUCAACGUGGUGAAACCUCAUCUCUACUAAAAAUACAGAAAUUAGCUGGGUGUGGUGGCACACACCUGUAAUCCCAGCUACUUUGGAGGCUGAGGCAGGAGAAUUGCUUGAACCUGAGGGGCGGAGGUUGCAGUGAGCCAAGAUCGCGCCACUGCACUCCAGCCUGGGCGACAGAGUGAGACUCUGUCUCAAAAAAAAAAAAAAUUGUGACUAGUAUGUUUUUAACUCUUCUAUUCACAUAGUGUUACAUCUCUGCGUAACUUAAAUGAUUCAAGUCAGUCUUGAUAUGUCUUAAAGCAUUUUUAUAAGUUGCCUGGACUAUUCACAAAUUGGUUUAAUCCAUGCCUCUAUGUAAGACAUAAUAUUUGUUUUUUCUGGCUUAAGCUCUUUUCAAUUUUAAGAUAAUUUAUUACACUUAAAAUCACUCUCUGGCCACAAUACUUAGUGGCAUAGCGUAUUAGAUGGCAUCUUUGAAUAGUUGGUUAUUGUGUCUGAGAGGAAAAAGCAUGUUAGAAUAUAAAAUUAGGUCAAUACACCAAAGAGAAAGGAUUCCCAGGAAUAGUGUAGAAUUAGAACAAGGGUGUUUGAGGUUUUCAAACAGUUACACAGAAAAAAAGUGGAAGUACAGAAAGUAGAAUUAAAGUUGUUGUACAGAGGGUGGCUCAGACCACAUAAUUUGACUUUAGCACACUGCUUUCAAGCUUACCUUUUAGUUAAAAAUAUAUCAAAUCACUGUUAGUUUUUUUUUUUUAGAACUAAGAGUCUAGCCACUUAGCUUCAGUGAUUCUCACUAAAUCCUAAUAAUAUUGGUAUAUUUUCAUCUACUUUAAUUCUUUAGUACCUAAGGUAAAAUCUUUAAAUAACUCAUCACCUCAUCUUGAUAAACUGCAGACUAGAAUCAGUGAUCUGAUUUAGAAGAAAAAGUCUAUCAUGAAUCCCUGUUUAUAAGAUGCUUUGCACCAUGUAAUAUGCAAUAACUAAGUAGAGAUCCUGACAUACAUGAGUGGUCAAAGGUUUAAAAAACUAGUUUGGGAGAGGGGCACUGGACAUAAAUCCAUGACUUCAAGAGUAAGUCAGGGCCAGGUGUGGUGGCUCAUGCCUGUAAUGCCAGCACUUUGGGAGGGUGAGGUGGGCAGAUUACUUGAGUCCAGCAGUUCAACACCAGCCUGGCCAAGGUAGCAAAACCCCAUCUCUACUAAAAAUACAAAAAUUAGCCAAGCUUGGUGGCAUCUGCCGAUGUUCCUAGCUCCUUGGGAGGCUGAUUCAUGAAAGUCGCUUGAGCCUGGGAGGCAGACGUUGCAGUGAGCAGUGAGCAUGCCUGCGCUCCACCCUGGGUGACAGAGCGAGACCUUGUCUCACACACACACACAAAAGAGUAAGUCAGUAGAAUAAGGACCACUAACAUUGCUCUCCCCUUUGGCUUGAAUUCUAGAAGGCAAUACAGUCAUUUUGAUACAUGGAAAAUUGGGUCAAUUUAGAAUAAGAAUAUAAACGUGACUGAAAGUGGGCAGGUUCUCUGACAAAUGUUUGGGGUAUGGAAACUAAGUUUCUAGUAGGGUGGUAACUAUGGCAGUUUUCUUAGAGUUUGAUAUCUGGGAAAGAUUUGUUGUCUAACACAAGACUAUGAAAAAGAUUAUCUGACUACCAAAGCUCAAAUUUACUUUCAUUUUUAGGGUUAUUUCCACUUUUGUAAUACAGACACCAGUGAAAUUUUUAACUCUGGUAUUGUGUGAACUAAAACUUUUACCUCUUCAUUACAAGGAAAAGACAAUAGAUCACUACCCAUCAAUACAAAAGAACAAGCUACUAAAACAUGGAUGACCUGGACCUGUGACGGACUAAAUGGCACUGUGUUUGACUCGUGGAUCUGACACAAACUAAGUGGGUCUGGAUAAUUCAUGGACACUCUGAGGUCCAAUCUCUUAAUGGUUUCAAAUGAGUCACAAGUAGAUGACCAUAAACACCUUUCGUGAACCAUCACGGUGGAAUUCUGUGAGGUUAAGAUAUCAAGACUAGCGUGACUAGUGUCACGUGGUUAUGGACAGGUGUGAGAGCAGUGCAGUGUCUUUCAAGAGUGGGAGUUGUUUAGAGAUGGAGGAAACAGGAUUUCCACCCUCUGCCUGCUUACCUCUUACCCCUAGACCUCCCCACAAGCUCUCCUUUGAAGUGGCCUCCUGUCUCCCCUUGGUCUUCUCAAAGCUGGUCCAGGCAUUCCACUGUCACAGACUCUAGUGGUUUCUGGAGAUAAUGACAUCACCAGAUCCAGCUCAUUCUGGCGGGUGGAUCAAGCACUGUUUCUGGCUAUGCUCCGUCCUGUCUGGGCUUUUCUGCCUCUGCUGGGAAGCUCUGGAGAGUGGUAAGGUCAGAGGGGUGUUCUCUUUCUAGGAAAGAUUCCUGUUCCCAGUGGCCCCCUGCUUCCUAAUUCACAAGAGCUGCUUUGCUCUACAGUGAAAUUAUUUCUUGGGAGCUGGGACCAGGGCCUGGGAAACAAAUUUUAGGGACACAAACCUGGCCCUCUGGAAUUCAAUACAUUGGACUGAAAACAUAGACAGCUUGGUAGUGCCAGAGUGGCUAGGCGCCUUCGUGUGACCCAACGGAUCUGACCAGACACUACCAGAAAGCCUAAAAUAUAUCUGACACAAGGUAAGGUUCUACCCACAUUCACUUCCCAUUAUUUCCCUGUGUAUUUUGGGUCAUGUCACUUUGCUCAGUGCUGUAAAGACCGCAGGGCUGGUUUUAGGCAGGUGUGAUAUUCGACAGCACCUGAGACCGGAAAUAAAUCACACCUGCCCUUGAACCUAAAUUUCCUCACUGCUAGCUUGUGACGUGGGCGCACUGUUCCUCCAACCUGAACCUCGGUUGUUAUUUUUAAUGCAGACGGUUAUGCCGGCCUCAUAGAGUACUUGUGAGGUUUAGGUGAGUCAUCCAAUGAAAAGAACAAAGUGUCUUCUAAAUACAAUAGCAGCUGUCACUUACUCAGGGUUUAGUAACUGCACUUGGCUGUUUGCUUUACAGCCAAGUGUAUGAUUUACCUAAGUUUCAAAACAACGCCAUGAAGCAGGCAUUAACACCCUCAUUUUCAGCUCGGGGUCUUGCCACAGACACAGCGCCCACGAGUUCUGGCACUUUGGUCAACGUUUAUAAACGGGCUCUCCUCUGCCGCCGCGGGCAUGCGCUUUCCCCAAGGUUCGCACUGAACACCUGUUCCUAAAGGGGGCGCAGCUCCACCUGCGUCCCCGGGACCUCUAGCGUGAGGGGGUCGAUCCUGGGGUCCCCCCGGGCUUCCCGUUCUCACCCUCUGAAUCACAAGCCCCAUUCUCACUAGAAGUUGACAGGCUGUGGGGAGACCUGGUUUCCCCGCGUCCCACUUCAGGUGAGCACCUUCCCCGCCCGCGACACCCAAGGGCCCCGGGACCACCUCUCAGCCUUAGCUAGGCGUGAAGCAGCGAGCUAAGCUUGCACAUGCGCAGACGUCAUCCAGAAGACCCUUUCCUAGAGUGUGGCGCGCGAGCCAUUCGGAUUUAAGACUACGUUUCCCAGAAACCUCCACGCCACGACUUACUUCGCAGCGUUUUCUCUAUUGGAUGAUUGGAAGAUGUUCCUGACUGCCUCGCCUGGCCAGGUUCUGCCAGAGCCCCUAGAGGUUAUGGGUUAAAUUUGAACUUUGCUGCCGAAUACGGUGCGUGGUCCUCCAUCAAAUCCCGAUUGGAAAAAACAGCUGCCAAACACGUUGGAAA
rnacentral:lncRNA from 10 species